UACGGAGGGUGCAAGCGUUAAUCGGAGUUACUGGGCGUAAAGCGUGCGCAGGCGGUGAUGUAAGACAGGUGUGAAAUCCCCGGGCUUAACCUGGGAACUGCAUUUGUGACUGCAUUGCUGGAGUGCGGCAGAGGGGGAUGGAAUUCCGCGUGUAGCAGUGAAAUGCGUAGAUAUGCGGAGGAACACCGAUGGCGAAGGCAAUCCCCUGGGCCUGCACUGACGCUCAUGCACGAAAGCGUGGGGAGCAAACAGG
rnacentral:rRNA from 1 species